ACAGGAUACAUCAAUGUUGCAUUUGUUUUAAUUUAUUUUUAUAAACCGUAAUAGAAACCGCGCGUGCAUUUCGACUUUAUAACUUAUUUAACGAGAAAGGCUGAAUUAUUCUCUUCUAAUAGUGAAUCCAUUUAGCAUUUUAUUAAAUGUUAAAUAUUUGAAUAUGUCAGAUGGUUAUUUUGUUUAAGUGUGCUCCACAGUAUGUUAUUUUCCUUUUGAUCUGUGUAAGCUCAUGGAACGCACCAUAUUUAUCCAUAACAUAAAUUGGGAUUGUCCUGCAUCUAUGAUUAUUUAUUUAUCCAACUUAAUUUUUUUAAAGUGACGACUUAUUGCUAUUGUGAUAUUUUAGUUAAUUUUUGGUGUGUUACUUGCUUUACAAUGCAUAUUUUUAUACUAUUUCAUAUUUUAUUUGUUUAAUAGCAUGUUAAUUCAUAAUUCUUGUCGAUUUCUUGUGGAUUGAGCGAUAGACAGGAAGAAGAAUUUCCGUUUAUCGCCAGGUGAGCCUAAUGGAACGUACCCUGUUUGUCAUUAGCAUAAAUUAACAUCAUGCAUCUAUGGUUAUUUCUUUUGACCACAGCUUUCCCUUAUCUAUGCUAUUAAAAUAAGGUAUAUAGUCUAUGGUUCUAGUUUUUUCUUAUCUAUGCUUUUGAAGUAAAGUGUAAAAUCUAUGCGUUUGCUAUAUCUAUGUUUUUGAUAACUUAUUGUCUUAAAAGUGAUUCAUCGUCUCCAUUUUAACAUUGUUCUCAAUUUUUUGUAAUUUACGCUAAAUGAAAGCAAUGAAGUCGAAAGAUAUCGUUUUUCCUGAAGUUGUUUUCUUCAUCAUAUAACAUUAUACUGUUAAUAUUCAACUGAUGAAUGAGCACUUGAAAAUUUAUUAAUUUAUACUCGCAUUGAAUCAACAAAGUGUUGCCAAAGGAAGGGUUUAUGGUAAUAAACUGAAUAUCCAACAACUGAGGGAGUUGCAGUUAAUUUUAAUGCUUUUGAAACCACCAAUGCUGCUGGAAAUCAAUUUUGAAGUCGCCGAAACAACAAAUUACCUGCAGUGGUAGUGCUCCUGGAGUUAGUUUGCUCAUCACCCUUGUAGAUUCUAGAAUGCAACUUUUUGAAGUUAAUUAAGAUUGGCCAACAAAAGAGAAUUAGGAGUUAAUUUUGACCCUAGCAAUGACCAUAACCAAAGUGUACAUUUAUUCCUUUCUGAAUUUGAUUUGCUUUUUGCAAGUUGGAAGUUUAUUCUCUGCAGCUAAUAAAUCUACUGAAAAAGCAAGCUGUCUGCUGUGGUGUUCUACCUGUUAGUUUUUCAUCUUGAAGAAUAUGGCAGUUCAUUAAGGAACAUUUGAAAAACUAAAUUUAGGAGCAUUGGUUGUAUCAGUGUUCAUUAGCUCCAGAAAGUAGAUGUACCUACGGUCCUAAAGCUUGAAGGUGCCUUUUUCUCAUUGGGAGUGGAGACGGUAUGCUGUUGGUUAAGGAAGGAUUUAAGACAAUGAACUGAGUAUCCAACAAAUGAGGGAAUUGCAGUUAAUAUCCAUGCUACUGAACAACCAAUGUUUUUGAAGUCUUCACCUUGCAACAUUGUGCAGUUAGUCUUUAAUUUUGGCCAAGUGAAGGGGGAGGCCAUUGGAAAUUAGUAUUGAAGUCACUGAAACAAAUUGUCUGCAGUGGUAUCCUUCCUGAAUUUGGUCUGCUCAUCGCAUUGGUAGACUCUAGAAUGCUACGUUCCUGGAGUUGGUUUACUUUCCACACCUGUAAACUUUGGAAUGUUACAUUCUACAAUUAAUUAAGAUCGACGUUGGAGAAGACAAAGAUGACCCCGUAGUUGAAA
rnacentral:lncRNA from 1 species